AUCCAGAUGACGAGUCCCAAAUAGGACGAAACACGCGUUCUGUAU
rnacentral:hammerhead_ribozyme from 1 species